rnacentral:tRNA from 1 species
UUAAGUAAAGCAUUUAUUGCAAUAAGUUUCGGCCUUAUAGGCUCAAAGAAAAAAAUUGAUACUUAAA